UGAAAACCAACUCUUUGUAAAUAUUGGGACAAUUAAAGAGAGUCAAGGAUAAUUCCUCUAAUGGAAAUGAAAGAAAACGCUCCUUAUAUUGAUUGAAUGACUAAUAGUGAAUCAACUUUGAUAAUCACUAUUUAGAAGCCUUUUGUCUUUGCUAAAAACACUACCUCUCUACAAGUUAAAUCCUCUAAGAUUAAAGGGUCCAUAAUUCCAA
rnacentral:misc_RNA from 1 species